UUCCGGUUGAUCCCGCCGGACCCCACUGCUAUCGAGAUGGGACUAAGGUAUGCUAGUCGAACGACCAGAACUAUGUCUGGGAGUGGCACACUGCUCAGUAACACGUAGCUAACCUACCCUUAGGACGUGGAUACCCCCGAGAAAUUGGGGUUAAUCCGCGAUAGAUGUAAUGUCCUGGAAUGGUAUUACGUCUAAAGGUAUUUCAUACAUGUUUGAAAUAUGCCUAAGGAUGGGGCUGCGGCCGAUCAGGCUGUUGGUGAGGUAAUGGCUCACCAAACCUUUGACCGGUACGGGCCAUGAGAGUGGUAGCCCGGAGAUGGACACUGAGACAAGGGUCCAGGCCCUAAGGGGCGCAGCAACCGCGAAACCUCCACAAUGCACUCACGUGCGAUGGGGCUAUCUCGAGUGCCACCUGAUGAAGGUGGCUUUUCCUAGGUCUUCAAAGCCUUGGGAAUAAGAGGGGGGCAAGACUGGUGUCAGCCGCCGCGGUAACACCAGCCCCUCGAGUGGUGGGGAUGAUUAUUUGGCCUAAAGCGUCCGUAGCCGGCCGAGCAAGUCUUCCGUUAAAUCCAGCGUCUCAAGCGUUGGACUGCGGGAGAUACUGCAGGGCUAGAGAGUGGGAGAGGUCAGCGGUAUUCUGGGGGUAGGGGCGAAAUCCUUUGAUCCCCGGAGGACCACCAGUGGCGAAGGCUGCUGACUAGAACACGUCUGACGGUCAGGGACGAAAGCUGGGGUAGCGAACCGGAUUAGAUACCCGGGUAGUCCCAGCCGUAAA
rnacentral:rRNA from 1 species